rnacentral:rRNA from 1 species
UGGGGGAUAUUGCACAAUGGGCGAAAGCCUGAUGCAGCGACGCCGCGUGGGGGAUGAAGGCCUUCGGGUUGUAAACUUCUUUUGCUCUGAACAAGGCAUGCCUUUGGGGUGUGUUGAGUGUAGGGGUUGAUUAGUGCCGGCUAACUACGUGCCAGCAGCCGCGGUAAUACGUAGGGCGCGAGCGUUGUCCGGAAUUAUUGGGCGUAAAGGGCUUGUAGGUGGCUGGUUGCGUCUGUCGUGAAAGCUCAUGGCUUAACUGUGGGUUUGCGGUGGGUACGGGCUGGCUUGAGUGCAGGAGGGGAGGCUGGAAUUCCUGGUGUAGCGGUGGAAUGCGCAGAUAUCAGGAGGAAUACCGGUGGCGAAGGCGGGUCUCUGGGCUGUUACUGACGCUGAGGAGCGAAAGCGUGGGGAGCGAACAGG